GGUAUUGUAUAAAUUUUGAAUUUGUGACUUCAUAGAAUUUGAUUUCUUAUGUAUAUCGAUAAAUAUUUUCAAUAAAAUUUAAAAUAAAUGAGUCAAACUUUUUAUCUAUUAAAUAAAUAAAAUUAGAAUUGUCAUUUUUUUGGGGUCAAACUAGAUCCUUAUAUUUUGGCAUUUUAAACGCCACUUAACUUAAUUUAGAUAUAUUUAAUUUUGUGAUUGAUCUAUAAAUAUACUUCUCGGUCUUUCUUAAUUUUAAAACACUAUUAGUUCAUUAUUUAAUUUAUUCUGUCAGAAAAAAAAUAAGAUGAAAAUUUAUUAUCGAUCAUCGCUUAUUGGUCUCGUCAUGCUCACAAUUCUUCUGCUUGGAGUAGUGGCGAAUGCUCAAAAAGGAGGACCAGUCCGAAAACAAUGUGUUGAACAAUACCCGGACCCAAAUGGAAAAUGUGUUAUCGACCAAUGUAAAGCCCAAUGUGC